CCUACGGGAGGCAGCAGUGGGGAAUAUUGCACAAUGGGCGAAAGCCUGAUGCAGCAACGCCGCGUGAAUGAAGAAGGGUUUCGGCUCGUAAACUUCUAUCAACAGGGACGAAAGAAAUUACGGUACCUGAAUAAGAAGCCCCUGCUAAAUACGUGCCAGCAGCCGCGGUAAUACGGAGGGGGCAAGCGUUAUCCGGAAUUACUGGGUGUAAAAGGUGAGUAGGCGGGAUGGUAAGCCAGAUGUGAAAGGCUUGGGCUUAACACGAGGAGUGCAUUUGGAAUUAUCAAGCUAGAGUGCAGGAGAGGAAAGCGGAAUUCCAAGUGUAGCGGUGAAAUGCGUAGAUAUUAGGAAGAACACCAGUGGCGAAGGCGGCUUUCUGGACUGAAACUGACGCUGAGGCACGAAAGCGUGGGGAGCGAACAGGAUUAGAUACCCUUGUAGUC
rnacentral:rRNA from 1 species